UUGCCAUGAUGAGUGUACCAGAAUCUUGUGAAAGUUGAUCUUUAAUUGCUUGAUGAAAUCUCAUCCUGAGCGGUUACCUGAGCAA